AUUGAACGCUGGCGGCAGGCCUAACACAUGCAAGUCGAACGAGUGGCGGACGGGUGAGUAAUGUCUGGGAAACUGCCUGAUGGAGGGGGAUAACUACUGGAAACGGUAGCUAAUACCGCAUACCAUCGGAUGUGCCCAGAUGGGAUUAGCUAGUAGGUGGGGUAAAGGCUCACCUAGGCGACGAUCCCUAGCUGGUCUGAGAGGAUGACCAGCCACAAGGGAAAUGAGACACGGUGCAGACUCCGCCGGGAGGCAGCAGUGGGGAGUAUUGCAGAGUGGGCGCAAGACUAAUGCAGCCAUGCGGCGUGUGUGAAGAAGGCCUUCGGGUUGUAAAGCACUUUCAGCGAGGAGGCGUUACUAGCAGAAGAAGCACCGGCUAACUCCGUGCCAGCAGCCGCGGUAAUUC
rnacentral:rRNA from 1 species